GUAGGUGAACCUGCGGAAGGAUCAUUAUCGUAGGGCUUCGGCCCUGUCGAGAUAGAAUCCUUGCCUUUAUGAGUACCGUCCGUUUCCUCGGCAGGUCCGCCUGCCGAUGGACCAAAACAAUAAACCCUUUUAUCACCUGUAUCAGUCUGAAAAAUAAAUAAAAAUUAAAACUUUCAACAACGGAUCUCUUGGUUCUG
rnacentral:misc_RNA from 1 species